GCCUCUGUGGCUUAGUGACAGAGCACUGGUCUUGUAAACCAGGGAUCGUGGGUCUAAUCCUCACAGGAGGCA